GAUGAACGCUGGCGGCGUGCCUAAUACAUGCAAGUCGAGCGAACGGACGAGAAGCUUGCUUUUCUGAUGUUAGCGGCGGACGGGUGAGUAACACGUGGAUAACCUACCUAUAAGACUGGGAUAACUUCGGGAAACCGGAGCUAAUACCGGAUAAUAUUUUGAACCGCAUGGUUCAAAAGUGAGAGACGGUCUUGCUGUCACUUAUAGCUGGAUCCGCGCUGCAUUAGCUAGUUGGUAAGGUAACGGCUUACCAAGGCAACGAUGCAUAGCCGACCUGAGAGGGUGAUCGGCCACACGGGAACUGAGACACGGUCCAGACUCCUACGGGAGGCAGCAGUAGGGAAUCUUCCGCAAUGGGCGAAAGCCUGACGGAGCAACGCCGCGUGAGUGAUGAAGGUCUUCGGAUCGUAAAACUCUGUUAUUAGGGAAGAACAUAUGUGUAAGUAACUGUGCACAUCUUGACGGUACCUAAUCAGAAAGCCACGGCUAACUACGUG
rnacentral:rRNA from 1 species